rnacentral:rRNA from 1 species
UACGGAGGAUCCAAGCGUUAUCCGGAUUUAUUGGGUUUAAAGGGUGCGUAGGCGGCCUAUUAAGUCAGGGGUGAAAGACGGUAGCUUAACUAUCGCAGUGCCUUUGAUACUGAUGGGCUUGAAUGGACUAGAGGUAGGCGGAAUGUGACAAGUAGCGGUGAAAUGCAUAGAUAUGUCACAGAACACCAAUUGCGAAGGCAGCUUACUAUGGUUUAAUUGACGCUGAGACACGAAAGCGUGGGGAUCAAACAGG